AGUGAACGCUGGCGGUAGGCCUAACACAUGCAAGUCGAACGGCAGCACAGUAAGAGCUUGCUCUUACGGGUGGCGAGUGGCGGACGGGUGAGGAAUACAUCGGAAUCUACUUAUUCGUGGGGGAUAACGUAGGGAAACUUACGCUAAUACCGCAUACGACCUACGGGUGAAAGCAGGGGAUCUUCGGACCUUGCGCGAUUGAAUGAGCCGAUGUCGGAUUAGCUAGUUGGCGGGGUAAAGGCCCACCAAGGCGACGAUCCGUAGCUGGUCUGAGAGGAUGAUCAGCCACACUGGGACUGUGACACGGUCCAGACUCCUACGGGAGGCAGCAGUGGGGAAUAUUGGACAAUGGGCGCAAGCCUGAUCCAGCCAUACCGCGUGGGUGAAGAAGGCCUUCGGGUUGUAAAGCCCUUUUGUUGGGAAAGAAAAGCAGCAGGUUAAUACCCCGCUGUUCUGACGGUACCCAAAGAAUAAGCACCGGCUAACUUCGUG
rnacentral:rRNA from 1 species